rnacentral:rRNA from 1 species
GACGAACGCUGGCGGCGUGCUUAACACAUGCAAGUCGAACGGAAAGGCCCUGCUUUUGUGGGGUGCUCGGGUGGCGAACGGGUGAGUAACACGUGAGUAACCUGCCCUUGACUUUGGGAUAACUUCAGGAAACUAGGGCUAAUACCGGAUAGGAGCUCCUGCUGCAUGGUGGGGGUUGGAAAGUUUCGGCGGUUGGGGAUGGACUCGCGGCUUAUCAGCUUGUUGGUGGGGUAGUGGCUUACCAAGGCUUUGACGGGUAGCCGGCCUGAGAGGGUGACCGGCCACAUUGGGACUGAGAUACGGCCCAGACUCCUACGGGAGGCAGCAGUGGGGAAUAUUGCACAAUGGGCGGAAGCCUGAUGCAGCAACGCCGCGUGCGGGAUGACGGCCUUCGGGUUGUAAACCGCUUUCGCCUGUGACGAAGCGUGAGUGACGGUAAUGGGUAAAGAAGCACCGGCUAACUACGUG